CCGGAAGUCCGGGCGGCCGCGGUGGUGGGAGUUGUAGUUCCGCUGCGCGCCCGGGGGACCAAGCCUCGGGGCGCCAUGGCAAAGUCGGGCUGAGACAUUUUGGGCCGCCACACCCAGACGUGAUUCUCUACCCGCCUCCAGCCUGGACGUGUUUGAGGCCCGGACUCUAGGACUGCUCCAGCCCUUGGUCCGGGAUGCCCCGGCCUGGCCCUGAAGUCCCGCCCGCUGGUUUGGGGAGAACGUGGCGUCAGAUGUUUCAAGAGAACAGGCAAGCUACAUGAAUUAUCAUUGAAAGAAUACAGCAACAUCUACUCACUACGACUUAAUUGAGGAAUAAUAUUGGGAGUUAGACUUUUAUUUCCUGGUGAUGUAGUGAUUUCAACUCAGAGGCUAUAGAAUGAUUCAGUUCCUGGUCAGAGGAAUGCUCAAGUUUAAAGAGUACCAUGAUAGAAUGAAAAGAACACUGAAUUGAGAGCCAGGACUGUAACAACACAAACUAGAGAAGAUGACAUAAGAUUGGCGCUGAACUAAUAUCUGUUGCCAGUCCUCUUCUAUUUUGUAUGCGGGAUGCCACCACAGCUUGACUUGAUGAGCAGUGUGUAGGUCUGCACCCAGGAUCCAAACCUGUGAACCCCGGGCCACUGAAGCAGAGUGUGCAAACUUAACCACUAUGCCACCAGGCCAGUCCUGAAUCUAAUAAUUCUUGAUGCUAUUAUUGAUCCCCGUGGCACCACUGGAUAAUUUUUUUUUUCUGCUGAGGAAGAUUAGCCCUGAGUUAACAUCUGUUGUCCAUCUUCCUGUUUUUUUUCGCUUGAGGAAGAUUAGCCCUGAGCUAAUGUGUGCCAGUCUGCCUCGACUUUGUAUGUGGGUUGUUGCCACAGCAUGCCUGACAAGUGGUGUAGGUCUCCGUGUAGGAUCUGAACCUGUGAACCUGGGCUGCUGAAGCAGAGAAUGCUGAACUUAACCACUAUGCCACGGGGCUGGCCCCUGGAUAACUUUCUGUUUAGAGACCUUGGCCACAAAUACUACAUAAACAUAGUGAUAUAUAAUUUAUCUAUUGUAGUACUGAGUUUUUUUCUAUCAACUUAAAGGCACAAAUUAAAGAACCAUUUUCACAAGUUAAUACAUCUUGUCACUGCUUCAUAUUUUAAACUCAUUUUUUCAACUUUGUGAGGAUGGGUUAUUUUAUAGACCAGAUUGUAAUAUUGGGUUGUUAUAAAUAGUAUUCUUUGCCACAUAUCCUUGACCUUCAGGUAAGCAGUGGAUGAGUUUAUUUGGUCAUUGCACGUCUAAUUUUGGUAAGGGUUUUGUGUUUUUAGCUCUUUGAAUGGGAUUAGGCAUCACAUAUAUGUGCAGAAAGAAACUAAACCUUUAAACAGCUCUGAAAUUUGGAAAAAUAUAGUUGUGUGAGAUUUUAUUUACUCAAAACAAUUUUUGUAUACAUUGUGUUAAAUCAAAAAGUGUAUUUGAAUCAUUGAUUAUGAAGAAAUGGGUGUCCAAUAUCAUCUGGAAAUGUUGUAACGAUCAUAACUCUUACUGAGCUCAUGAACCUAAAAUUAGAGGAUCUUAAGAAUCCUAUGAGUUGGAAGGGAAUGUAGAAAUUAUCUUGCCUGAUGUCAAAGUCUCUCUUCAACAUCUCUAGCACAAAGUCAUCCAUUAUCUGCUUGAAUAUGUCCAAAUAGGAGGGAACUCACUAAUUCACAAGAAGGCUGUUUCAUUUAUUUAAAGGAAGAUUAGCCCUGAGCUAACGUCUGCUGCCAAUGCUCCUCUUUUCGCUGAGGAAGACUGGCCCUGAGCUGACAUCCAUGCCCAUCUUCCUCUACUUUAUAUGUGGGAUGCCUGCCACAGCAUCGCCUGCCAAGCAAUGCCAUGUUCACACCCGGGAUCCGAACCGGCGAACCCUGGGCUGGAAUGUGCGAAUUUAACUGCUGUGCCACCAGGCUGGCCCCAGCUAUUCCAUUUUUGAAGAGUUCAAAUUGUUAGAGACCUAUUCCUUAUAUUAGAGCCAAAUCUGUCUCCCUCUAAUGUUUACCCUUUGGACUUAACCCUUUAAAAACUACAUGGAGUAAAUUUAAAGUAUCUUUCAUAUGAGUGGCAUCUCUUGUGUUCUCCCCACCAAGUCUUUUUUCUAGCUUUACACAGCCUAAGUUUCUUCAAUAUUCUUUAUGUGACAUGGUUCUUAAAACCUUCCUACGAAGUUACCUUGCUCUGAACUAAGUGAAGCUUAUCAGAGUAUCAUGUAGAGCAAUAGUCGUCAAACUUCUCUAUGCUGGAAUAGACUCACCUGGGGUGCUUGUUUCUUUCUUUCUUUUGUGAGGGAGAUUGGCCCUGAGCUAACAUUUGUUGCCAAUCUUCCUCUUUUUGCUUGAGAAAGAUACUCCCUGAGCUAAUAUCCAUGCCAAUCUUCUACUGUGUAUAUGGGAUGCUGCUGCAGCAUGGCUUAAUAAGUGGUGUGUGGGUUCAUACCUGGGAUCCAAACCUGCGAACCCUGGGCCAGCGAAGCAGACUGCAUAAACUUAACCACGAUGCUGCCAGGCCAGCCCCUGGGGUGCUUGUUAAAAUGGAGAUUCCCACAAGCCAGCCCCGAUGGUCUAGUGGUUAAAGUUCGGUGCUCUCCCCACUUCUGUGGCUGGGUUCGUUUCCUGGUCACAGAACCACAUCACUUGUCUGUCAGUUGUUGUGCUGUGGUGGUGGCUCACAUAGAAAAAGCAGUUAAAAAGAGUGCCUAAAAAGGACUGAAACUAAAUGUUUUCCUCAAAUGAUAUUAAAAAAGCCCUACAUGUUGAAAAGCGGUGUUUAACAGAAAUACUAUUUUAAUAGAACUGUCAAUACUGUUCAUUAGAUAAAAACCACAGAGCCAUUCCUGAUGGCCUAGUGGUUAAAGUUCCUUGCUCUGCUUCAGCAGCCCGGUUCAGUUCCAGUUGUGGGACCGCACCACCUGUCUGUCAGUUGCCAUGCUGUGGCAGACCCUCACACAGAAGACCUAGAAGGGCUUACAACUAGAAUCUACAAUGAUGUACUGGGGCUUUGGGGAGAAGAAAAAAGAGAGGAAGAUUGGCAAGAGAUGUGAGCUCAGGGUGAAUCCUUCCCUGCAAAAAAAAAAGAAAAAAGGCGAUUCCUGGACCUCCACCCCUGGAGAUUCUGACUUAAUAGAUCUUAAAGGGGCUCUGGGAGCUAUACUUUUAAUUUGUACCACCUGGUGAUUCUGAUGCACAAGGUCUCUGGACCUCCCUUUGAGAAAUACUGUUUCAAAAUGUAGUAUUAACAGAUCUCCGAAUUCCUUACCAAAAGGCCUCAGCUGGUGAGAAAGACAAAUGUGUAAAAUGACCCUUACAUGGCAGAGCAGGGUGCAGUGAGUGUGGGACCACAGGCUAGAGAGGGCAUGCUGAUCUUCAGCCCACUGGGUGAGGCCCAUCUUGGGAGUAGUCUGCCCUCAAGUGGGGGACUGGUUCUCUGUGCGGGAAUGAGUGUGAGGGGAGGGGAAAAGAAUAUAUACUGCCAACAAGUAACCAAAAAGAAUAAUGAUUUGCUUGUAUGGUAAAAAGAACACUUGCAAAUAGCUUUGGGUUAAAAGAAAAUCAAAACUGAAAUGAAAGACAAUACUGAGAACAUUAUAUAGCAAAACCUAUAGUAUACAGAAAGGAGUAUUAAAAAGAAAAUGUACAGCUUUAGAAAUGCACUUAGAAAACAUGAAAGAUUGAAAAUCAAUGAACCAAAUAUUAAACUCAAUAAGUUAGACGAAGAACAUCAACUCUAAAAAAGGCAAAAGGAUGGAAUUAAAAGAGGUAAGGAAGUUGAAACAAACAAUAAAAAGUAUACUUGAUUAGUAGAUCCAAAAGCUGAUUUCUUGAAAGAUCAAUAAAACAGACACAUCUUUGGUACAUCUGAUAAAAAGAGAAAGAUGGGGAAGGAGAGAAAAUACAAAAAAACAACAUUGGGAAUGAAAAGGGGACAUAAUCGCAGAAAUAGUGAAGAUUUACAAAGCAUAAAAAUGUAUUGUGUACUACUUUAUAGCAAUAAAUUUAAAAUCUAAGUGAAACAGGAAUUUCUAGGAAAGGCAAACCAAAAUUCACUCAAAGAGGUAGAGACUCUAACAGCCCAAUAACCGUAGAGGCAAUUGAAAAGGUAGCAACAGAAAUGUAUUUAAAAAGGAAAAGAGCACAACAACGUGCAUAUACUUAACUCUGCUGAACUAUACACUUAAAGAUGGUUAAGAUGGUAAAUUUUAUGUAUUUUUUACAAUUAAAAACAUUUUUUUAAAGGAAAAGGAAAGACCCCAGGUCUAGAUUUUAUGGGCAAGUUAUACAAAAUCUUUAUCAUCUGUUACUUCUACAUUCCUAUAGCAUGGAAAAUAACAAAACACUUG
rnacentral:lncRNA from 1 species